AAACGAUCUUGCCAUCCAAAGGAUCGUUACAGCAGAAGAUCGCGCGCAGAGAAAUCGAUUCAAAAAAUCGAUAAAUCGACUAGAAAAGAUCGGUUUUGCAGAAAUCGGAUCGAUCUUGCCCAUUGCUAAGCGACACUGCUGAUUUGAUUCAAAGGUAAUUCGACGAUGGAAACAUUAAAAUGUUUCUUUUGUAAGCGACUGGUGGAAGGUUAUGUAGAUGGGUUAAAACGGCAUUUGAACUAUCAUGCCAACAAAAAGGAUUUUGACAAAAAGCUGGUUCAUUUCACUUGCAUGAAAAGUGGAUGCAAAAUCAGCUACAGGAAAUUUUCCAAUCUCAAGCAGCACAUCAUUACCAAACAUCCUCUUCUGGCUCAAGCCAAUGAGAGCCACUCAAGUUUAAACGUACCUUGUAUCGAGAAUAAACAAGAGGUAUUAGACAAAAAGGAUUAUGAUGCUUAUUAUUCCGGUUCCGAACGGGAAGGAAUGCGUAUUGUAGAAGGAAAAGAAGCCACUGUUCAGGUUCAAGAUACGUUCCAAUACAUCCCAAUCAAAGAUUCGCUGAAAAUGAUUCUAAAGUGUAAUAAAAAUCGAUCUGCAAUGAUUGAACGAAUCAAACCUCACAGUGAACCUGACGUGCCAAUACAAUAUGAAAGUUUCACCGAUGGAAACUGCUUCAAGAACAGUGAAUUCUUCAAAAAAUACCCGGAUGCCCUUAGAAUAAUUGUUUACGAGGACGACGUUGAACCGUGCAACGCACUGAGUUCAAGAUCUGGUAGAAAAAAGAUAGCAGCUUUAUAUUUCAAAGUGCAAAAUCUUCCAAGGCAAUUUAACUCCUCUACAAAAUCGGUAUUUCCACUGAUAUAUGUGAAAUCAUCAGAUGUCAAGCGGUACACCUACAACAGAAUUCUAGAGCCCCUAGUCGCAGAUUUAAGAAAAUUAGAAAACGAUAUAACCGUUUACUUCGGACAAGAGAGAUGCUUAAUUCGAGGAGAAGUUAUUGUAAUAGCAGGGGAUACCCUAGCUGUUCACGAGCUGUUUGGUUUGUUAGGACCCUCCGCCAAUAUGUUUUGCAGAGAGUGUACAAUUUCUAGAAAUAAAUUUCGUCUGGACCCUUUCAUGAACUCAUAUCCGCUAAGUGAUAGAAAAUGGUACGACAUGAACUUGAAUAAAGUUCGCAAAAAGAAAAAUUCAUUGAACGAGUGUGGCUUAAGACCCACAGGUUGCAUCUUAAAUGAUCUUCAGGAAUUUCACAUAACGAAAAAUCAUUCGUUCGACACCAUGCAUGAUUUGGCCGAAGGAGUGAUACCAAUGACAAUACAGCUGGUUCUUUCUCGAUAUUACAAAAAUAAAAGGCUUGGGUUCACUGUCGAUUUCAUCAACCAUCGGAUUGCAACAUUUGCUUAUGGUUACCGUGAAAAGAAAAAUAAACCAUCGUCUAACAUCACUGCUCAAAUGCUUCUGCAGCCUAAAUCAUACCGGAUGAGACAAACGGCGUCCCAGUAUCUUCUUCUAAGAGCCUUCCCGUUUCUUUUCAAUCAUAAAGUACCAGAAGAUUGUCCAUACAUGGCUCUCAUUAGCUGCUUUAUCAACAUAACACGCAUAUCGUUUUCCCCAACAGUGCCAGACUUACUGAUAGCAGAACUUGAAAUGGAAAUCGAAAUAUUCUAUAACCAGUUUUUCAAUUUAUUCAAACGCCGUCCGAAUAAACUACAUCAUCUCUAUCAUUACCCAGAAUGCAUUAAAGAAAUUGGACCGUUGCAACAAUACGAUUGUCGUGUUUUUGAGCAGAAGAACAAAACAUAAAAACGCAAAUGAAUACUGCGAAAAACUUCAAAAAUGUUUGCCUUAGCUUAGCCAGACGACAAUUGUUUGCACAAGCUGUAGCCAUUGCAGAAAGACCAUUCAAAGAUCACUUGACUUAUCAAUCUGGAAAAAUGGUUUUAUUAGAAAAUUUAAAAUCGGCUCAUUUGUUGCAUUUCAACCCAGAGAAUCGCUGUUUUGUUCCCAAAGAAAUGUUAUUCAAUGGAAUCAGAUUCCGAACUAAUUGUGUCGUAUCUGUUAAAAAUAAUAAUUUAAAUGGCCUCCCUACGUUCGGGGUAAUACAUGAAAUUAUCGUGAUGGACAAUAACCCAAAAAUGUUGUUGACGAUAUGGGAAACAAUUGAUUUUGAUGAUGUUCUGCAAGCGUACCUGGUCGAAAACACAAACCAAGAGCUCUUAGUAUCCCUGGAAAACAUACACGGUCACACAACUUUUUCUUUUUGGAAAACAUAUAAUAAUUUAAGACAUUACAUAUCCAGAAGAAUAUAUAAUAGUGAUUGUUAACAACAGUCGCAUAAUCAAAAAUCAAUUUUCUACAGUUCAUGAAGAGAUCAUCGACAUAGAAACGUUUUUGUUGCUGGAUGAAAGCGAUUUUACCCGUUUAAAUUUGACCACCGGACAGAGGAAGAAAAUUAUCAAAGUUCAGGCGCAAAUCCUGAGCAAAUCAAAAACAACAGGAGAAAUGCCGGAAAGUGAAGAAUAUGAAGGAUAUGAAUAUAUAGAGCACGAAGACGAACUUGGUAUUUCACUGGAAGACGAAUUUGAUAUUGACUGUGUAUUUCAACAGACACUAGAAGGCCGUAAUAUAAUCGAAUUGUUAAAAGGACAGAAUGGAGUUGACAGCAAAUUAUCACGAGCGUACUGAGUGGAUACCUGAUUAAUAGGUUUGGAUAUCAUCCAAGUGUGCAUCAUAGAAAUGUUGUGGCCAUGUCUCUAGUAAAUAAAUAUGCUAGUUUAAGAUCAAAAAGCGCUGACCUACCACAGGCGUUAUGGUUUUAUCCGGAUGGAAGCGGACCCGGAAGACAUAGCGGCAAGUUGCACUACCAUAUUGAAUUCAUGGUUAAGAAAAAUCACAAGCAAAUUCAUCGGUUAAGAAAUGAGCAUUCUGAGUUUGAAGAGACACACAGCGUUGUCAACGAUUCUUCGACAGGCGAGGAAUUACAUGACAUGAUUACUAAACUGAAGUUCAUUGUACCAUCGGAUGCCUCGUUCGACGUGAUUAAAACCUCCAGUCCAGGGAAAGACAGUUGAAGCCCGAAAUGCUUUACGGAAACGAGAAAAACCAGAAGACUUGAUAGAGAAUAUGAUUGAAAAUUUUCCUUUAUUGUUUGCAUUUAAUGGCUCUUUGAUUAGCUUGGAUUCCGUACAUAUGUUCCCAGAGCUUAUUGAAAAUAAUAACAAGUGGAAUUUAUUACAGGAUACCAUUCUAACCAAGUUCAAACAUCUACACCCAACUGUUAACAACCAAUUCAUUCGAUCAUUGUUAAUUAUCAAAGAUAAAAAUCCAUCCCGUGGAGUUAAACGGGUCAAUAAAGGUUCGCAAAAGAUAACCAACCUAUUGGAAGGAACUGUCGAGUGGAUAAAUCCGGAAGAUGAUAUUCAUAAAUACGUUGCGGAUUAUCGGAAUAUGAAAAAUCCAGUGAUGAUCAUUAAAGCACAACUAUACGCUGAGGGCGAUAGCUACAUCCGCAUCGGAAAACGUGCUUUUUCGAUUGGGUACGAAAUCGAGGAAGCGUUCAACACUUUGAUUAAAACUCACUAUUUUUUUAACUUGAAGUUUGAGCCGUCUCAUGCAAACUUUUUCUCUUUUUUCACGGGGACAGUUUUUAACGUGACCAAAUCAUCAACUACCGUAGCCGAUUUUAUCCUUCAAUUGAAUUCUUAAAUAAAUUUAAAGAAUGUUAUAAAAUGGAUCGAUAAUCAUUUUUUGUAAUUGAAAUAAAAUCUUCAGAAAUGCAUAGAUAA